CCUACGGGAGGCAGCAGUGGGGAAUAUUGGGCAAUGGGCGCAACCCUGAUCCAGCAACGCCGCGUGAAGGAAGAAGGCUUUCGGGUUGUAAACCUCUUUUAUCAGGGACGAAAAAAGUGACGGUACCUGACAAAUAAGACACAGCUAACUACGUGCCAGCAGCCGCGGUAAUACGUAGGUGGCAAGCGUUAUCCGGAUUUCAUGGGUGUAAAGGGCGUGUAGGUGGGAGCGCAAGUCAGAUGUGAAAGCUGAGGGCUCAACCCUCGGCCUGAAGUUGACACUGUGGUUCUGGAGUGCUGGAGAGGGAAUCGGAAUUCCGGGUGUAGCGGUGAAAUGCGUAGAUAUCAGGAGGAACACCAGUGGCGAAGGCGGAUUGCUGGACAGUAACUGACGCUGAGGCGCGAAAGCGUGGGGAGCGAACAGGAUUAGAUACCCCAGUAGUC
rnacentral:rRNA from 1 species